UGACUGUUCUACUAUUUCUAUAUGUAACAAAGUGUGUAAUCAGCCAUUUACUGUAAUUAUUUAACAGAAUCAAAACAACUUCCUUCUGCCCAACCCCUGGGCUUGAACUUUAAAAAAGCCACUGACCAAUCUGAAGAUUCAGUCCAGUUCCAUGCCCCUCCAACCCCCAUGACCACUUCAGGUCACCAAUCUGGAGCAGGCUAUGGAUGCUCAUCAUUGGGGCCUGCUUUUCAGCAUCCUGAAAGUAAAUACAGAUUCAUCAUUACAUCAUUAACAGAAUCAUUGGUGUCCAAAGUUGAUAUGAAUUGUAUUAAGAUGCAGCUUCAGUGAAAAUGUCAAACAUUAUCAUCAGAGGUCAUGUAUCACAGCAUAAAGUGUUUA